CGGCGGACAGGGGAGAAACACGGAGUCAACCAUCCUAUCAGACCGGGUUAACAUAGGGAAAUUGAUGAAAAUUCCGCUUAGGUUUUUGGCUACCAUGAUGUGAAAAGAGAAGAUGGCAUGGCCUCUCACUAUGGGAGGGGCCGAUGUCGCAUUAGCUAGUUGGUGGGGUAAAGGCUUACCAAGGCGACGAUCAGUAGCCGGCCUGAGAGGGUGAUCGGCCACACUGGGACUGAGACACGGCCCAGACUCCUACGGGAGGCAGCAGUAGGGAAUUUUCCACAAUGGGCGAAAGUCUGAUGGAGCAACGCCGCGUGAACGAAGAAGGUCUUCGGGUUGUAAAGCUCUGUUGUCCGGAAAGAAAAGGUUCCGUUUAAAUCGGGGGGUACCUGGACGGUACGGGAGAAGAAAGCCCCGGUUAAUUACGUGCCGGCAGCCGCGUAAAUAGGUAGGUGCCAAGCGUUGUCCGGAUUUAUUGGGCGUAAAGCGCGCCCAGGCGGUUAUGUAAGUCGGGUGUAAAUCCCCGAGGCUCAACUCCGAUUCGCAUCGGAAACUGUGUAGCUUGAGUGCAGAAGAGGAAAGCGGUAUUCCACGGUAGCAGGGAAAAUGCGUAGAGAUGUGAGGGAACACCAGUGGCGAAGGCGCCUUUCUGGUCAGUAACUGACGCU
rnacentral:rRNA from 1 species